GUUGGGGUCCUGCGCAAUGAGAGUCUGUGAACCUUGUCAGGUCCGGAAGGAAGCAGCAAUAAGCGGAUAAACUCAUGUGCCGCAGAUCAGCCUUUUCCGU
rnacentral:SRP_RNA from 1 species